AUUGAACGCUGGCGGCAUGCUUUACACAUGCAAGUCGAACGAGUGGCGGACGGGUGAGUAAUAUAUUGGAACGUACCGAGUAAUGGGGGAUAACCAAUCGAAAGAGUGGCUAAUACCGCAUACUAUUCGAGCGGCCAAUAUCGGAUUAGCUAGUUGGUGGGGUAAAGGCUAACCAAGGCGACGAUCAGUAGCUGGUCUGAGAGGAUGAUCCGCCACACUGGGACUGAGACACGGCCCAGACUCCUACGGUAGGCAGCAGUGGGGAAUUUUGGACAAUGGGCGCAAGCCUGAUCCAGCCAUGCCGCGUGUAUGAAGAAGGCCUUCGGGUUGUAAAGUACUUUUGGUAGGGAAGCGGUACCUACAGAAUAAGCACCGGCUAACUACGUGCCAGCCGCCGCGGUAAUUC
rnacentral:rRNA from 1 species